UGCUAUUCCUAAAUAAUUCUUAACAUGGUUAAGGUCACAACUCUUGAAACUCCAUAUAAUCCUUGCUCCACUCAAAUCCUUUUUAUUCCAAUUCCUUAAAUAAAAUAAGAAGAAGCGAUCCAAAAUACGUAUAUGUACCCAGGUUUGAAUACAUUUUUACGUUAAUGGAUCGAACCAUAAUUAAAUGUGUGGAUCUGUGGUUAUAUUAUCGGUUUUAGUCCUAUGUAAAAAUUAUUACUGUACGAAGCCACUAUUUGGAAACGAAAUUGUCUAUAAGUAAGAAUCUAUCAAAGGCAAUGGAAAAUGAUAAAUUAUUUAGUAGUAUAAAUAUUUGUUUGUAAAUAGAAAU